rnacentral:rRNA from 1 species
AAGUGGAUUAGUGGCGCACGGGUGAGUAAUGCAUAGGUAACAUGCCCUUUAGUCUGGGAUAGCCACUGGAAACGGUGAUUAAUACUGGAUACUCCCUACGGGGGAAAGUUUUUCGCUAAAGGAUUGGCCUAUGUCCUAUCAGCUUGUUGGUGAGGUAAUGGCUCACCAAGGCUAUGACGGGUAUCCGGCCUGAGAGGGUGAUCGGACACACUGGAACUGAGACACGGUCCAGACUCCUACGGGAGGCAGCAGUAGGGAAUAUUGCUCAAUGGGGGAAACCCUGAAGCAGCAACGCCGCGUGGAGGAUGAAGGUUUUAGGAUUGUAAACUCCUUUUGUAAGAGAAGAUU